UGAGGCUUGUAAGCUGCAAAUUGAUUCUAUAAGGCCCAACUGUGCAAGCCCAAUGGCUUUAUCUUUCAAUAACAUUGCACACUGUCGCAAAUGGUUCCCUGGGAUUCAGAUAUGCUCGGAUUGCCUUACCCCAUACCAGAGGGCUUUCCCAUCAAUCUCUGACCACUGGCCGGCAGUUCCUCCUGUCACAUUUUCACACUUGGGAGAAAUGUGCAGGAGAGGUGUGCAACUGUUGCACUAAUGCCUAGCUUUAAGCGUGUUUGCACCCUGUCUUGAUGCUAGGUAGGCAUCAGAAAAUUCUCUUUGACUCGGAUUGGGAAAGGUGAAACUGGAAAUAAAAGGACAUAAAACAUGUCCAAACCCUACAAAUUACCAACUAGAUCCAAGUUGCAAAUUAUAGGAGAAGGAAUGAAAGAAAACUACACUUGAUAUCAAUUCACUGAUCUACAAAGUAUCUCUCUGUGUACUCAGGGGAUUUCCUUUAGAGUUUUGUCAUGAGAGAUUAUGUCCUCCCACAUGCCCUACAUCUCAGACUCUUUAUGCAGGGAGAUCCUAGAAGAGAGUCUUAGCUAUUACACCUGAUGACUUGCAUCCCUCUGGGGGUUCCCUUCAGUCACCCCAUUUUCCCUUCCAAAAUACACUUACCUUUGGGUUAUUCAGGGAAUAUAUUUUUAGCUUCUGCUGGUAAAAGGGCUCUUUCACUUUUUGAAGAUGCAGGUGCUACUUUUGUGGACUGGACAGUGUUUCCUGUACUGGACUGGCCUGGGGUCAUUGCUUAACUCUGAAAGGUAUUUUCAUCUCCCUCACUCCCAUGGAUGCCAGAGGAGAAACAUCUAUUUUCAAAGUGCUUUUUGGGCCUCAUCCUACGUCGCACUCAGCUUGCUCAGUUCCCACACCAUGUGGAUAGAAACUAGAGGCCCCCAGCACCUCAGCAGCUGCCCUGAGCAUCUUCCAGGAUCAGCCCACCAUGGACAAGGGCAGUUUGUGCACUGGCAAUGAGAGCAAUACAAAGGAGUUGAAAACACAACAAAAGAAAAUAAAAUGUGUUGGAAAUUUUCUUAGUUAAAGAUGAUGGCUUUUAAUUGUGAUUUAUUAACACGGUUGCUGCCAUGUUUCCAGUGAUUGUCUGCUGUUUUGGAAAAUUGUAUCCUUGGAUGUACUGACACAGUUGUGUGUGUUUAUGGUGAGAGAUCUCCACAAAACAGUUGAGGAGCUGGGAGACUGCUGGUAUGCUGGAAAGUGUGUUCAGAGGGCUUUUCUCAAGAUCUCGGAGAAAAACCCUCAGAAAUUUGGUGAGGAGAUUAUCGUGAAGAGAUUUUGAAACCUUGUCCUCCUGCUCAUAAUAAGCUACUCCUAGGAAGGAGCAUUGAAAAUAAAACUCUGAUUUUAAUGAAAACUUUAGGAAUGUUUACAUUUGCUUUCAUGGCCUUUGGUUUAUAAACUCUUGCAGCAGCAAAGGGAGAGGCCAGAAGUUGUACUGGGAGCUAGCACCCAUGCGGUUUCUCAUGGUAGAG